ACGUAGGGUGCGAGCGUUAAUCGGAAUUACUGGGCGUAAAGCGCGUGUAGGCGGCUCUGCAAGACAGGUGUGAAAUCCCCGGGCUUAACCUGGGAACUGCACUUGUGACUGCGUGGCUAGAGUGCGGCAGAGGGAGGUGGAAUUCCGCGUGUAGCAGUGAAAUGCGUAGAGAUGGGGAGGAACACCGAUGGCGAAGGCAGCCUCCUGGGAUGACACUGACGCUCAUGCACGAAAGCGUGGGGAGCAAACAG
rnacentral:rRNA from 1 species